rnacentral:lncRNA from 1 species
AUGUGUCUGAAGCUUAUCUUUCUAUACCUCAUUGGCUCAGAGAAUAUGUAUUUGUAUAAUAUUGAAACUAUAAAUGGAAGAAACGUGCCUAUUAUCAAACAAGAACCAGAUUUUUAUGGUGAUAAGACAUUCAUUUUUCAUUAUAAAUCUGGCCUUGUUGUCCCUUCCCUCUGCCAGGGGGAUCAUACUAGAAAGUUUUUGACUGUGUAUUUGACUGAAAAAGAAAAAGCUUUAUUACUAAGUCUUUUUUGUUUCUUGUGUUUUUUUUUUUUUUUUCCAGUGUUCUCCUAGAAGAUAACUGAGAUGCAAAGUACUUACAGCAUUGCUGACCAAUUCUAAAAGGAGAGGAUCUGAGAAGCCUGCCUCACUGAAAGGUAGAAGGAAUGGACAUAUCCGAGGUAUUCGGUAAUGCUUCAAAACUAUCAUUUAACCAGUAGAAAGCCUUAUACUUUAUUGUGUUAAGGUGAUGAAGUGUGUGAAGUGAGUACAAUUAACAUAUAGAUCUCCUUUUUUGUUAAAAAAAUAAAAUAAUAAAUUAAGAAGAAAAACACCAAAAUGUAAGGAAAAAGCUUCACUAGAGAAAAUGACAAAAGGCAGGGAUCUGUGUUAUAACUUAUCAAGAAUAUGUAGUCACAUAUGAAAGAUUACACAAUAGAUUUGCUUUAGGGAAAGAGAUACUGUACAUACUGAUUAAAGUCUAUGUAAAUCAAAUAUUGGAAAUAUGCCAGUCAUUCCUAGCAGUGCCACUAAUGCAGUGAUUUUCAGCAAUGUCUCACUGAUUUUCUUAAGCUUUUCAGUAGCUAUAACAUACUAUCACCCCAUCAGCUGCUCAAACCAACAAGAGUAAGGUGGGAGAC